rnacentral:lncRNA from 1 species
UUUAGAGAGAAAUGAGAGCUUAUGUUCUCAUCCUUUCCCCAAAAGAAAACCCUAAAUGAAUUCUGGCUAUAAAGUCAUAUUUAUACCUUAAUUCAUUGGAGUGGCAAACUUGUAAAUAAGUCCAAAACUCACUCCAUCUCUAAAUGGCCGGCCUUAGGGUAUUAUUGGGCUAAUUUGGCCUUUGUGAAUCAUUAUUCAUUAAGUUAUCAUACAACUUAAUUCAAUGGGUUUGACAUUCGAAGCCCAUUGGGCCUUAAGGUCCAAAACUAUCUCGAGGUCUUUAACGAACUUAUUCGUUUGAUUAAUUAACAUAUUAAUUAAUCCUUGCCAUAAAUAAUUAAACCAUUUAAUUAUUCUUACUCAUCUCCAUUGUUUCUUCAAUCUCCACCUUACACGGUGUACGAUUCAUUAGGUUCCUUUUAGCGAGGCAGUGGGCGAUUAAAACCAUUUCAAAUCGAUUGUG